CGUAGUCCACGCCGUAAACGAUGUCGACUUGGAGGUUGUGCCCUUGAGGCGUGGCUUCCGGAGCUAACGCGUUAAGUCGACCGCCUGGGGAGUACGGCCGCAAGGUUAAAACUCAAAUGAAUUGACGGGGGCCCGCACAAGCGGUGGAGCAUGUGGUUUAAUUCGAUGCAACGCGAAGAACCUUACCUACUCUUGACAUCCAGAGAACUUAGCAGAGAUGCUUUGGUGCCUUCGGGAACUCUGAGACAGGUGCUGCAUGGCUGUCGUCAGCUCGUGUUGUGAAAUGUUGGGUUAAGUCCCGCAACGAGCGCAACCCUUAUCCUUUGUUGCCAGCGGUUAGGCCGGGAACUCAAAGGAGACUGCCAGUGAUAAACUGGAGGAAGGUGGGGAUGACGUCAAGUCAUCAUGGCCCUUACGAGUAGGGCUACACACGUGCUACAAUGGCGCAUACAAAGAGAAGCGACCUCGCGAGAGCAAGCGGACCUCAUAAAGUGCGUCGUAGUCCGGAUUGGAGUCUGCAACUCGACUCCAUGAAGUCGGAAUCGCUAGUAAUCGUAGAUCAGAAUGCUACGGUGAAUACGUUCCCGGGCCUUGUACACACCGCCCGUCACACCAUGGGAGUGGGUUGCAAAAGAAGUAGGUAGCUUAACCUUCGGGAGGGCGCUUACCACUUUGUGAUUCAUGACUGGGGUGAAGUCGUAACAAGGUAACCGUAGGGGAACCUGC
rnacentral:rRNA from 1 species